UACGGGGGGUGCGAGCGUUGUCCGGAAUCACUGGGCGUAAAGGGCGCGUAGGUGGUUUGAUAAGGGUGUGGUGAAAGCCCGGGGCUCAACCCCGGGUCUGCCGUGCCGACUGUUAAACUCGAGGGCUGUAGAGGCAGACGGAAUUCCGGGUGUAGCGGUGGAAUGCGUAGAGAUCCGGAGGAAGACCGGUGGCGAAGGCGGUCUGCUGGGCAGUUUCUGACACUGAUGCGCGACAGCGUGGGGAGCGAACAGG
rnacentral:rRNA from 1 species